AUGACCCAGCGAUACGAAUUGCAUGACGACAGCAAUGGCUUUUGGAGCGUGAUUGAUCGCUUCACUGGCUGGCCUGCUCGAUGGGAAGGCAUAUCGCAAACCGGCCUCGAUUAUUUCGAUGCGGACGAUCUCACCGAUUUGCUCAAUCUGCUGGACGAACGCAGACGAGCAAAAGGCAAGCCGGAAAGCGGCGAGCUAAAGUGAACGGCUUGCGAAUCGUGAAGGGCGGAGAAAGUGAGUGCCCGCACGAGGAAGGGGUGCGGGCACUCUGAACAGG
rnacentral:sRNA from 1 species